rnacentral:rRNA from 1 species
UACAGGCUUAACACAUGCAAGUCGAGGGGCAGCAUGGUCUUAGCUUGCUAAGGCCGAUGGCGACCGGCGCACGGGUGAGUAACACGUAUCCAACCUGCCGUCUACUCUUGGACAGCCUUCUGAAAGGAAGAUUAAUACAAGAUGGCAUCAUGAGUCCGCAUGUUCACAUGAUUAAAGGUAUUCCGGUAGACGAUGGGGAUGCGUUCCAUUAGAUAGUAGGCGGGGUAACGGCCCACCUAGUCUUCGAUGGAUAGGGGUUCUGAGAGGAAGGUCCCCCGCAUUGGAACUGAGACACGGUCCAAACUCCUACGGGAGGCAGCAGUGAGGAAUAUUGGUCAAUGGGCGAGAGCCUGAACCAGCCAAGUAGCGUGAAGGAUGACUGCCCUAUGGGUUGUAAACUUCUUUUAUAAAGGAAUAAAGUCGGGUAUGCAUACCCGUUUGCAUGUACUUUAUGAAUAAGGAUCGGCUAACUCCGUGCCAGCAGCCGCGGUAAUACGGAGGAUCCGAGCGUUAUCCGGAUUUAUUGGGUUUAAAGGGAGCGUAGAUGGAUGUUUAAGUCAGUUGUGAAAGUUUGCGGCUCAACCGUAAAAUUGCAGUUGAUGCUGGAUAUCUUGAGUGCAGUUGAGGGCAGGCGGAAUUCGUGGUGUAGCGGUGAAAUGCUUAGAUAUCACGAAGAACUCCGAUUGCGAAGGCAGCCUGCUAAGCUGCAACUGACAUUGAGGCUCGAAAGUGUGGGUAUCAAACAGGAUUAGAUACCCUGGUAGUCCACACGGUAAACGAUGAAUACUCGCUGUUUGCGAUAUACAGCAAGCGGCCAAGCGAAAGCGUUAAGUAUUCCACCUGGGGAGUACGCCGGCAACGGUGAAACUCAAAGGAAUUGACGGGGGCCCGCACAAGCGGAGGAACAUGUGGUUUAAUUCGAUGAUACGCGAGGAACCUUACCCGGGCUUAAAUUGCAGAUGAAUUACGGUGAAAGCCGUAAGCCGCAAGGCAUCUGUGAAGGUGCUGCAUGGUUGUCGUCAGCUCGUGCCGUGAGGUGUCGGCUUAAGUGCCAUAACGAGCGCAACCCUUGUUGUCAGUUACUAACAGGUUCCGCUGAGGACUCUGACAAGACUGCCAUCGUAAGAUGUGAGGAAGGUGGGGAUGACGUCAAAUCAGCACGGCCCUUACGUCCGGGGCUACACACGUGUUACAAUGGGGGGUACAGAGGGCCGCUACCACGCGAGUGGAUGCCAAUCCCAAAAACCUCUCUCAGUUCGGACUGGAGUCUGCAACCCGACUCCACGAAGCUGGAUUCGCUAGUAAUCGCGCAUCAGCCACGGCGCGGUGAAUACGUUCCCGGGCCUUGUACACACCGCCCGUCAAGCCAUGGGAGCCGGGGGUACCUGAAGUGCGUAACCGCGAGGAGCGCCCUAGGGUAAAACUGGUGACUGGGGCUAAGUCAUAACA